rnacentral:tRNA from 1 species
GUGCCCGUAGCUCAGUUGGCAGAGCAGGGGACUUUUAAUCCCAAGGUCGUGGGUUCGAUCCCCACCGGGCGCACCA